UGACAAGAAAUAAUUGGCUUGUGAGAAUCAACAUUGAAGCUGGAAAAAUGAUGGCAUCCGAACAAGUAGACACAGCCCUAGUCAAGGCAAUAAACUACACUAAAGACAGAGGAGAAAGACUCAAAGUUGUUCUAACAUUUAUUCACAUCACUCCAGCUGACAGCCAACCAACAAACAGCCAGACACGUGAGCCCAACCAAGAUCAGAAGAACUGUCCCACUGAGCAUAGUCUAAAUUGCUAACAUGCAAAUGCAUGGUAAGCGCUACUUGUUUAUGGCAUUGAGGUUUUCUUGGUUAUUUGUUACACAGCUUUAUUGUGGCAGUAGAUAACUGAUACUGAUACACGUGGUGAACAUGACAGAUAAGCUCUCUGUUCUCCCAGGCUUACAUUUUAAUGGGGAAACAAGAUAAUAAAUGAACAAAUAAAGGAACAAAUGAACUAGAAAAAAUAGCUGGGGUAAGUGAUAUCACAGAAUUACAUCAAAACAGGAGAGGGGUGGUAGAAUUAGUUAGGGCCUACACAAUGGCUUUACUUUUGAUGCUGAAGGAUGAUCUUAAUUAGUUUAAGAUCUGAAUGAGAAGAGUCAGCCAGGCAAAGACCAGUGAAAGUAACAAUCUAGACAAAAGGACUAGCUAGUGCCAAGGUCCUAAAAAGGGAAUGAACUUGGAGAAUUCUAGAAACAGAGAAAGCCACUAGGCUUGUGGUGUAGGGAGUGAGGCAAAGAGGAGCAGCACAAGAUCAGAUCAGAAAGGAAGACAGGAUAAGAUCAGAGAAGAAGACAGGCCAGAUUACACAAGGUUUGUAAGCCAAACAAGGAGAUUAGAGUACCCACCAGAGAUGGCCUUUAUGUACACACCAUAGAUGGCCUUUGCAUUCCCACCAGAGAUGGAGUUUGAUGUCUUUUGUCUCAGGCCUGGGUCAGAGCACAAAGCAGCAAUAACAGAGAAGCAAAAGAGACAUUGUUGGAAGAAAACAAUCCCAUUCCUGGCUUCUGUAAAUGGAAUAGGAGGGGACACAGAGGCAGAUUCCUGGGGAUGGAAGAAUGGGAAGGAGGGGAAGAGGGAGGAGAUUCCCCUAGACUGGGCAGCAAAGGGAGGUCAGAAGGUCUGCCCCUCCAGAAGAGGCCAAGGCAGAGCCUUCAGGAGGGACAGGAACUCCUGGGGCACCUGCAAGGACACCUAGGAUACCUUCUCUAGGCACUGCAGCCCUGGCCUUGGCAGGUGUACUUUGUCUAGAAAUUGCAGGGAGCCUCCAUGGUCUCAGUUUCCAAGCACCAUGGAAACUUCCCAAGAUGCCAUUCAUUGUGACUCUGGCUCAGACAAUGGGCAUAUUAGGGAAGCCAAUGUGCACCAUCUUAUUUGAUUGAUAUUAUCCACAGUAACCUCAGCAAUGGCUGGUGUUUCGUGAUUCAGCCUGUGUGGAAUAAGGAAGGGAGAGGCCUUGCCAAAUAUUUCUGUGCCCGAGACCUCCCCUCCUCUGUAGCCAGAGUUGCCAUGACCUUGUAGCUGAGGCUGGGGCUCAGAGCCCCAAUUCUGACUCAAAAGAGUGUCCAGGAACCCAAUGCCAUGAGGCUCAAGGUCAAGUAAUUUGAUUUUUAAGAAAAUUAAGAAAUGUGCCCUCUUCAUCUCAAAAACACUAUGUUGAGUGAAAGAAAUCAGACACUUAAAUGAUAUUCAAGAACAGGAAAAACUCACCUAUGAUGAUAAAAAUCAGAACAAUGGUUUCCUCUGAGGGUUGAGGCAGGGGCCGAGUGACUGGUAGGGGCAUGAGGAAACUUCGGGGGUGAUAGAAAUGUCAUUCUCUUGAGCCACAUGAAGCUUUCAGGUCUUGAGCUAAAUGUCACCACCAAACUGUACACUUAAGAUUUGUCCAUUUCACCGUAUGUAAAUUUUGCUGCUAUAAAGUAUUGACUUGAGUCUCCUGUGGCAAGGAAGGAAGGAAGGAAGGAUGGAAGGAAGGAAGGAAAGAAGGAUGGAAGGAAGGGAGAAACAGAGGAAUGAAGGCAGGAAAGGAGAAGGAAAUAAAGGUGCACGUGUUGCAGAUCCCAGGCUGUCACCCAUUGCACACUUUCCACCUGUUUUUUCCACAAAAUAAGCACCUAGUUUGUGAGAGGUUGUGCCAAGCAUCUAGUCUGUGCCAAGUGGCCAGAGAGAAAAAAUAUGUAAACAAAGGGUAAGCAUACAAAGCUCAGACCUGGGCAGUAUUAGUUCUAUCCAAGGGUGAAGGAGACAAGCUCUCAGAAAGAUUUAAAGGGGAGAGAAAGGGUCAUGAGGGCUGGAGGGAUGGGGAUUCUCUGAGAUCUGAAUUCACCUUGCACUUCUUUUUCUUUUUGAGAAACAGACCACAGCAAGGUAAUCUUACAGCCCAGGACUCAGCUGCUGCAAUCUCUGUGAAAGGUACUUAUGACUAAUGCUGAUGCCACCAUGAAGCUCAGGAAACAAUUUACAGGGACAUGGGCUGUUCUGAGACCCCACAGCCAUGAAUCGCCUAAUCAUUCUGACAGAUUUCUGCAGAUGCUGUGCUCAGGUCACUGAGUUUCCCAGUUGUCAGUGGUGAACUGGAGCGGAGGCAGAAGGAAACUCUUCAGACACACUGUUCCCUUCAGGAAACAAGGGACAAAAGGGCUGCCCUGAGGAGACUUGGGAAAGUGACAUUUCCUCAGGCUCGAGGACAUCCCGAGGUUCUGCUCAUGAAACAGAGACAACCAUGUGUGGUGCCUGCAUUCUUGGCCUGCGGGGAGUGGAAAGGAGACAAAGAGUAAAACACGGUGGGAAAGAAGAAAAAGAGGUUAAGAAAAGCAAAUGUGCCUACUCCAGGUAAUUUUGACUUAGGGACCCUGAUUAACUUACACACUAAUUAAACCAUUUCCAGAUUUUGUGCAGUCUGAAAGCAGCCCAUUUUCCCCAACACCAGGUCGCUCAAGAUGACCACAGGAAGGUUGUCAUCUUCAUGUCUAAAAGCCAGUUGACACUCAAGGGUGUCAUUUCACUUCAGUGAAAUGAGAAGCUUCACAGAUGUGUAGACUCUGAAAAAUCUAACUGGAAAACAAUACAGGGAAAUAGCAAUACUAGGCAUCAAAGCAGCAAAAAAACUACUCAAUUAUCUGAUAUGGGGAUUAUCAAUGGAAUAAAUGUGGGGUUUGUUGUUUGUUGUUGGGAUUGUUGUGGGUUUUGUUUCAUUUUUUAGGGUCUCACUUUUCUCCACCAAUUAGAUCUGUGCUGUGAGCCACACAGGUUUUGAGUACAUGUUUUGGGACUUUAUAUCGGUCAGACUUUGCCAUGGUAACACUGUGUAACGAGCAGCCCCAAAAAUCUCAGUGGUGGUCAAAAGCAAACCUUUAUUUCUCAUUCAUGGGUUUUCAGUUUGUUCAGGCUAAAAGUAAAAUACACAGAUUCUUCACCUGUCUUUCAUUCCAUGCUGAAGGAGCAAUUGACUGCCUGGGACAUACUUUUCUCAUAACAGAGGCAAGGGUGAAAAACACCAAGUCAUCUUGAUUAUGCAAUCCCAUUUUUAAUGUAAACAAUGUCAUGUCUGCUUCUAUUUCAUUGAGCAAAGCAAGUCAUAUAGGCAAGCCCAACAUCAGUGGGGUGAUAAAGCACACUCUCCAAUGGAAGGAGGAGGGGAGCAUGAUCAUUUGCUGAACAGUAAUGCAAGAUAGCACAAGACUUGUCUGGGGUGAGAGAGAGAUCAAAGCUGUGGAUCCCACCCAGUCUUCAACCAAAGCAAUGUGGCUUUGACCUGU
rnacentral:lncRNA from 1 species